rnacentral:lncRNA from 1 species
GCUCGAUAGCAUAAACAUAAGUGAGUUACACAGCAAUGCAAGGAAAAAUCUAAAAAAAAUACUAAGGAUAGAAAAAUGAAAGAAUAAUGACAAUAGCAGCAAUUAAUGAAUUAGAAAAGCAGAAAAACAAUAAAAUGAUCAAUCUAAGAGCUGGAUUACUGAAAAUUGAAACAAAAUUAAGAUCAAAAGAAAAUAUGAAGGCCAGCUCUGUGGCUCACGCAUGUAAUCCCAGCACUUUGGGAGGCCCAGGCAGUGGAUCACCAGAGGUCAGGAAUCAGCCUGGCCAACAUGGUGAAACCUCGUCUCUACUAAAAAUACAACAACUAACUAGGUGUGGUGAGGCACCUGUAAUCCCAGCCUCCUGAGUAGCUGGGAUUACAGGCAUGCGUCACCAUGCCCGACUAAUUUUUGUAUUUUUAGUAGAGACAGGGUUUCACCAUGUUGGUCCAGCUGCUCUCGAUCUCCUGACCUUGUGAUCCACCCGCCUCCUCCUCCCAAAGUGCUAGGAUUACAGGUGUGAGCCACCAUGCCUGGCCCCAAAAAUGUUUCUUAAAUGACCAAAAUGAGCUUCAAAUGGCUAACAACUAUAAAUGACAUUGACAAAAACAGAAUUUAAAGAAAGACUCCUCCCUCCCCCAAAAUGCAAAUUCCAGACAUAUUUAUCACUCAAUACUGUCAAACUUUGAAGGAACACAAAUGUCCUAUGUUAUCUAAUCUAUUUCAAAGCAUGGAAAUGUCUUGUGAAACUUUGCAUUUUAUUUUAUGAAGCUAGGGUAUCUAUGACCAAAUUAUUUUUUUCCUCAUCUUUAUUGAGGUAUGAUUGAAAAAUAAAAACAUUAUGUACAAGUCUACAACUUGAUGUUUCGAUAUAGAUAUAAAUUAUGAAAUAGUCACCACAAUCAAGGUAAUUAACAUAUCUGACACCGCAUAAUUACCAUUUUCUUUUUUUUCUUUUUCUCUUGUGUGGUUAAAAUACUUAAGAUCAGCAUUCUUAAGUAUUUCAAACCAAUCUCCAGUAUACUAUAUAAUAUUGUUAACUAUAGUCACGUUGCUUUACUAUGAUUAAAUUCUGUAUUUUUUUUUUUCUUAAAAUAUUAAGAGGCCUGGCAUGGUGACUCACACCUCUAAUUCUAGCACUUUGGGAGGCUGAGUGGGGCAGGAUUGCUUGAGCCCAGGAGUUAGAGACCAGCCUGGGCAACAUGGUGAAACCCUGUCUCC